rnacentral:rRNA from 1 species
AUAAAUUUAUUAUUUUUAUUUAUUUAAUUAUUUUUAACAAAAGUAAUUUUAAUUUUAUUAUUAUAUAAGAAAAAAUUGAUUUAAUAAUAGUUUAUAGUAUUGUGAAAGAAAAUUUUUAUUAUAAUAAAAGAAAAAUUUAAAUUUUGUACCUUGUGCAUCAGGGUUGAUUAAUAAAAAAUCAUAUAUUUGAUAUUCUCGAAUUUAAAAGAGCUAAUUAAUUAUAUAUUUUAUUGUAAAAUAAAUAUUUAUAAUUUUUAAUUAGAAAUGAAACGUUAUUCGUUUUUAAAUUUAUCUAGUUUUUAAAUAAAUGAAUUUAAUUCAGUUAUUUUAAUUUAAAAAAUUUAUUUAUUAAUUUUUUAUUUAAAAUAAGUAAUUUUUUUAGGGAUAAGCUUAAAAAAAAAUUAUUAUAAUAAUAUAAAUUAUAAAUAAAUUAUAGGAUUAUAAUUUUCUAUAAAUAAUAAAAUGUUAUAAUUAAUUAUUUUUAAAAUAUUAUUUUUAUAUUAUUUAAAUUUUUUAUUUAAAUUUAAAUUUUAAUUUUAAAAAUUUAGUAAUAAUGAUUAAAUUAGUAUAAAUUUAUGUAUAUUUAAUUUUAUAUUUAAGGUUAAUUUAAGGAACUCGGCAAAUUUAUUUUUCACCUGUUUAUUAAAAACAUGGCCUUUUGAUUAUAAUUUAAGGUCUAAUCUGCCCACUGAGUUUUAAAUGGCCGCGGUAUUUUGACCGUGCAAAGGUAGCAUAAUAAUUAGUUUCUUAAUUAGAAGCUGGAAUGAAAGAUUGAAUGAGAAAAUAACUGUCUCAAGUUAAAUUUUUUAGAAUUUUAUUUUUAAGUUAAAAAGCUUAAAUAAAUUUAAAAGACGAGAAGACCCUAUAGAGUUUUAUUUAAUUUAUUUUUAAAUAAAUAUAGAUUUUAGUAUUUUUUAUUUUUAAAUUAAAUUUUGUUGGGGAGAUAGAAAAAUUAAUUAAACUUUUUUUAUAUUAAAACAUUAAUUAAUGAUUAGUUGAUCCAAAUUUAUUGAUUAUAAGAUUAAAUUACCUUAGGGAUAACAGCGUAAUUUUUUUUGAGAGUUCUUAUCGAAAAAAGAGAUUGCGACCUCGAUGUUGGAUUAAAGUUAAAUUUUGGUGUAGAAGCUAAAAAUUUAGGUCUGUUCGACCUUUAAAACUUUACAUGAUCUGAGUUUAAACCGGUGUAAGCCAGGUUGGUUUCUAUCUUUAAAUAAAUAAAAUAUUUUAGUACGAAAGGACCAAGUAUUUAUUAUAUUAAUUUAAAUUUGAAUAUUAUU